AACUGCACUAUUAAAAUAAUAGCCGAUGGAUUUUCUUACUGUAGACUCAAAUUAAAACUCUCAAAAACAGUUUAUUGUUUUCUCUUUAAGGAAGGUUUAAUUGUCCUCUCAAAUCUAUAGGAUUCUCAAUCCUUAUAUAGAUAUUGUUUGCAAUGUUGUCAAUCGAAUACCCUUCCCCUUGCUCUCAGUUCUUCUUUGUUUGUGUAUUUUUAACCUACAUCUGUAUCACUGCUCACAUAUUGAAUGAAAACCCUCACUGGGGUACGUGAUCUGCUUCCUUUAUUUUUUCCCCUAAAAUCUCCUGAUAUGUUCUUAUUUAUAAUGUAAAGAUCAAUGAUUUGUGUGCUCUCUCUCAUUCCAAAACAAGUGCAAAUCGUUUCAUUAUUGUGUUAUACCUAUUCCCUCAAAAUGUAUAUCUGGAAAAAUUUCUUCUAUACAAUCUACUUCGUGUGUUUCUUUCUUUACAUCAAAGGAGUUAUUGUCAUGGAAGAACAAACAUUCAAAAGUAAUUGUAGCAGGUCGUUCGAGUAUCUAAGAGAUCUAUUUUGGUUGAAGGAAAGAUCAACGACUAUUAUCAUUACUUGGUACUUCAUUGUUUAAGUUAACUUAUACAAUCAACUUUUACUUCUGCUCAUUAUUGUGUCAACUAUCGUAGUUUCAACCAAUGAGGAUUUAAGAGAUUGUUACUACUUGAACUUUUUAAAAGAUCGUUGUGAUGUACAGGGCUAAGAAGAGCCCUAUAAAGACCAUAGCGACAAUAACCAAUUUUAUCAACAGUCAUGCGUUUAAAGGGCUGCAUUUUUUGCAUACUGAGAUAACGACAUUCUGAAUAUGAGUAAUCAAGCACAAUGUCGUUCAUGAUAAAAAUGUUCUCCUUUUGAAUUUCUGUCACGCACAUGUCAUAUAUUAGAUCAUGAAUCUUAAUUGUAAUUUGAUUAGAGUAAGUGUGUUUCUUAAUUGUAAGUGUUCUCUUUAUUCACAUUUCAUUUAUAACUCAUAAUUUGAUUAGAGUAAUUUUUUCACCUAUAAAUAUAAUUUAACUUGGUGUAAUAUUCUUAAUUGUAAGUGUUCUCUUAAUUCUACUGAUUCUAUUUUACUAUGGAAGUGUUCCCCUGGACAUAUGAACAUAUUCUCAUUUGAUUUAUGCCAAUAUAUUUGUACAAAGUUUGAAUAUUUAACUGACAUCUUUGAGAUCUGUGUACUUUCCAAAUAACCUCUUCUUCCCUUAAUUCAUCUAAUAGCACCACAAAAAAAAAAGCGACAUUAUUCCACAGAUUCAGAUAUCGUUUUUCAUUUUCUCAAUCUCAAUUUGCUUUUCCAAUAAGUGAAAAGAAAUCAACAUCAAAGUGUUCAAAGGAAAACCAUGAAACAGAUAAAAUCAACACGACAUGCGGCGGAUUCCUGAUUUUUACAUUUCAUUUAUAACUCAUAAUUUGAUUAGAGUAAUUUAUUCACCUAUAAAUAUAAUUUAACUUGGUCACAGAUAAAUUUGUUGUCUUCUAAUAUAAUGUGUAUAUUUGUUGCCCUUGAAAUUUAGAGAAAUUCUCGACUGAUCUAUUUGUCUUCUUAUUUGUUUGUUUGGUACAGGUAUUCCAAUUUCUUUGGAUGAUAUCAUUUAAUAGUAUUACAAUAACUUUGAACUUUUUCUAUUUUUUAUGGUUGAUAUUUUUUUUAUAUACAAAUUUGAUACAAGUAUGAUCAUGAUCAUGACACUUUUGAGUAUUUUUGAAGACUAGUCACUAAAGGCCCUUUUUGUCAUUUUGUCUAUUACUGUAAUGUACUAUAAAUAGAUCAUUGUAGGGUUUAUUUCUUUAGUUGAUCAUUAUUAUUGAAGAAUACUUCUCUUAGAGUGAGAGAGAGUCCAAUUGAAACUAGGGCAUAACA